GACAGAGGUGGCAAGCGUUGUUCGGAAUUACUGGGCAUAAAGGGCGCGUAGGUGGUCAGGUAAGUCAGGGGUGAAAGCCCUCGGCCUAACCGAGGAACAGCUUCUGAAACGAUCUGACUGGAGUGCAGGAGGGGAGAGUGGAACUCGAGGUGGAGCGGUGAAAUGCGUAGAUAUCUCGGGGAACGCCGGUGGCGAAAGCGGCUCUCUGGACUGCAACUGACACUGAGGCGCGAAAGCCAGGGGAG
rnacentral:rRNA from 1 species